CUUUUCUUCCAGUGCCGCUUUUCGCUUGCGGUAUGGAACUCGGUCAAAGCAAAGAUUGGACUCCUUGAGAUCACGGCGACAGAUUGGGUGAAUAUGGUGAGUGUGAAAGAAUGGUGGAGCAAGCUGGCUCUCGCGCGCUUGCCAAAUAGAAAAGGUCAGGCCUCCUUCCUCAUGAUUGUUUCCUGGGAGCUGUGGAAGGAGAGGAACUCCAGGGUCUUCCGGAAUGUUUCUGCGCCAUUGGCGAUCGUUGUGGGUAAGAUCAUGGAGGAGGCAAGGAUAUGGGCUUCUGCUAGUGCCAAGGGAUUAGAUGUAAUCUUAACUCGCGAGUGA
rnacentral:rRNA from 1 species